rnacentral:snRNA from 1 species
AUGGUUCCCUGCGCAGGCUCACUACCGAGGCCGAUCGAAAAGGGUUAUGGCAUAGGUUAGUGGCUUCCAUAGCACUUGGGAGGAGCGCUUGCCUACCAUCUCCUCAAGUAGGAGAGUGGACGCUCAAGUAGGAGAGUGGACGUUGUAAUUUAUGGAAGAGGGGUACAUGUUCGUGCGGCCCCUAC